rnacentral:rRNA from 1 species
CACUUGUCCUUUAAAUGGGGACCUGUAUGAAUGGCACGACGAGGGCUUAACUGUCUCCUUUUUCAAGUCAAUGAAAUUGAUCUUCCCGUGCAGAAGCGGGAAUAAUAACAUAAGACGAGAAGACCCUAUGGAGCUUUAGACAUAAAACAGACCAUGUUAAACAACCUUGAAAAUAAGAACGAACUAAAUGGCCCCUGUUUAAAUGUUUUUGGUUGGGGCGACCGCGGGGCAACAAAAAACCCCCAUGUGGAAUGAAAACACUUUUUAAAACUAAGAGCAACUGCUCUAAGUAACAGAAAAUCUGACCAAACAGAUCCGGCCUAGCCGAUCAACGAACCGAGUUACCCUAGGGAUAACAGCGCAAUCCUCUUCUAGAGUCCAUAUCGACAAGAGGGUUUACGACCUCGAUGUUGGAUCAGGACAUCCUAAUGGUGCAGCCGCUAUUAAGGGUUCGUUUGUUCAACGAUUAAAGUCCUACGUGAUCUGA